GUGGGAUUCAAUGUGUUGAGCAUUUUGGGGGGGUUGGAGGAUUCUGUGUUGAGAAGUUUGGUCGCAGUUGCAAAUGAGAACUUGUUCUCAACUAGCCUACCUGGUUAAAUAAAGUCUUCACAGCUGCAAUUGUCUUCCCCUGCAUCUGCUACACUGGCCACGACAGGUGAUACAGAUCUGCCACCCCCAGCAGUUCAGCUGCAGUCACAGCAGUCAUCUGCUGUGGUGUUUAAUUUAUCCUACUACACUGGCCGUGGAUGGAGAAACUUUUGAGGAUUCCCAGAUGGAUACAGAUCUGCCAUGCACUCCACCAUUGCCCGACAGCCUCACACAGAAGUGCAUACACUGGGCCUGGCAAGACUGACAAAGCAGAGAUGGGUGGCUGACAAGGAAAAAUAAAACAUGCACUCAUACACAUUAUCCACAAUGUAAAUAAGUUGUAAUUGCUUGUUUAUUUCAUGUUUUCUCCAUUUUAUUUUAGGAUUGGAGAUAUCUACUCCUUCAUAGCCAUUCUCAAUAUCUACAUAAGUACUCUAAAUAUCUAUCAAAUCAAAAUGUGAUUGAUAAUAUUGUAAAAGACUAUGGCUUAAAAUGGUUACAGUUUGAGGAAAUUCUUUGUGCUUUUUCUGAAUUGAAAAACAUGUCUCACUCUCACACACAAGACCCAAAAAAUAAAUAAAUAUCUGAA